AGUUGCACUGGGCUGGAUUUAGCUUAGAAAUAGGGUGAGCAACCCACUUGUAAAGAAAAGGUUGCCCUACUUGUUACGGCAGUUCUGUGAGUAAGUGAAAGCCUUGAUACACUUAAUGUAGGAAGAAAGAGGGGAACGCUGGUGCCAGCAGCAUCAGGGUGCAACUAGAAGAUGUUUUUUCACACCCCUGGGCAAUGCUUUCCCUCUGGUCAGGAACAGGAGAAAGACCCAUCCUAAGUCUGCUUAAUGUCCCACACAUUCCCAGGUACAUCCACAAACCAGGCCUGCCACUGUGUGAUGUGAACUUGCUCUAAAUAAUCUCUGUGUUCUCAGGCAGCCUGCAAGGCUUGAAUGCAGAAACACUGUCCAUAGCAGGAAAAUCAUGCAGUAACAUCUGUUAAGUAUUUAGAAUACAAGCAAGUCUGAACAACAGACUGUUUUGUGGCUGGUUAAUAGCGUAUAUACUCUAAAAUGUCCCUUGGGAUGAGAAAGGAAGGAUGAGAGAACUCCUUUUAAUUUUCAAAUGUGUUUUCUGACUUCAUUAUCAGGAGAUUAAGCUCCAAGGAGGAUCUGGAAGCUGGAAGACUGCGAUCUCCAGCCUGGGAUCAAUGGAGCUCCUAAGGAAAGCUCUGGGGAGGGCUUGGCUGUGAGGAGAGCUGGACAGAGAUCCACUAGAUGGCACUUCCCUCUUGGUUUUCAAAAAGAGCCUUCCCCAGACAACACGAAACUAUACAGAAAGGAAACUGGACUUAAAAUCCAUGGAGCUUUCCAGGAUGAGCAAGGCUGGACCUGAGGUUUCUGACAGGCUGAUGAGAAGUAAAUCUUGCACAGCUUAAUUUUAAGUUGAGAAAUAGAUAACAGGAAGAUCAGUACAACUCAUGGAAGGACAGCAGAGUUCGUUCUGCCUUAGAAAGCUCCUGUCCCCCUGCUCUGGAGUCAGCAGAAUCCCCUGUGCCCCCACCAGAGGGGAGUGUGCCAUCUUCAGCCUGCACUGCUGUGCCCAGGAAAGCUGAGAAAAUCAGCAGGACAGACUCACAACUGAGACAGGAGUGAGCAGCUUCAGCCUUGGUGGGCAAGGUAUGAGCUGGUCCCAAAGCCUGAGGUUGGCAGCAGAUCCCUCAGUGGCAGGACAAAACCUUCACCUGGUUGAACCACUCUGGAGAAGUGAGAUCUGCUUAUUGCAAACUGGAGGAGAAAAAUAAAACACGAUCCAGAACUUAGAAAAAAAGCUUUUUUGUGUGUUGGAAGCCCUUGAAAUGGGCUGUUAUUUCCAUAGUUCUGUGCCACAUCACAAGCCAAUAGGAAAAGGAUUCAGAUUGCAUUUUCUUCACUUUCAGUGGUUACUUGUAGGCAUGUUUUCUGUUUUGGUAUACCAGGGUUAAUGAACUCAUGAUGCUGUAAUUUUCAUAGGCACUGAUGCAGUCCCUGAGCAACCCAGUGAGCAGGAACAGUGCCUGUGUUUUCCUAGGAGGAUGGGCCAAGGAUCCUUCUUUUUCUUAGGUGUAACUAACUCAAAGCUAAGUUACUGAGAUUUGGCAAAGACAAGGGAAAGAAUAAGAGAAUCAGAGUGCAUGUAUGUAGCAUAAGCAGGAGGGAAGACCUCUGACCCUUGUCAGUCUUGCAACGUCUGGUAAACCUAGAUUUGAAUCAGUAGUCUGAGCAUCUCUAGUUCCAUUUAGGAUGCCCUAAGGGACCCUGUGGAACUUCCAGCUGGCCUGGAAGGAUGUGCAUCUGCUGGAGGUUCCGUGUCAUGUCAGCCUGCACUGGAUGAGAUAUAUAUGUUGAAGUCACUGAAUUAAGCCUGUCUUAUCUGUUUUCUCAGCAUAUUUUUAGUAUUUCUUGUCACCAAUAUUAUAGAUGGAUGGAUAGGAAAAAAGAUGCAUUUGUAACAUAUUUGGGUACAUCUGCUCUAAACAAGGAGGUGCAGAACUGCAUGGAAAUUAAUGUGUCAGAUGUGGCUGGAGUUGCUCCAUUGAACAGAUGAAGACUCUCAAUAGAUUUUACUCUAAUGCUGAGCUGCAUUUCCUAUCCAAAGUUACCGUAUCAUUUUGCAGUGAUGUAGAACUAUGUACAAAAAAACCCCACAAAAACGUGUUUCAUUGCAAAAAAAAAGGUCAGUAAAUGAAUGAAACUCAUUGCCUGCAGUUUUUAAAGUACCAGUUUCCCUUGUGGGCACGAACAUGUAUUUAUUUUCAGUUCCAUGUUGUCUUGUGUGCUCAGCCAUGACUUCAUUUGCCUGCAGUGUGACCAUGGAGCCAUGUCACAUGAAGACAGACUCACUGUUGCCAUGAGUCAAAUGAGCUCAGCAGACCCCCAACAUUUCCAUUGUACAACAGCUUGGUAGGGUUUCCUAUGCAAAAUUAUUUAGUGGCAAAGGAGCUCACAUCUUUUAUGUGUUUAAGGAACAGUUUUAAAAAUAGGGGGAAGGAAAAUGUUUACUCUGGAAAUGUGUUGUGUACCAGGUGGGACUCCCAUACCCAAUUAACUGAUGCAGAAAAUAGCUGCCAUCAGCCUGCAGCGUUCUGGAGAAGUCUCAUUCUGUAAGUGAACAUUUGCUGAUGCCAGCAAACUGAGCAGCCUGAAAAGCUAUUUUCUCCUUACUGCUGAGACCACCAUUUUGUAGGCUCUAGCAAAAGAGAGGCCUUCUGUCUCCCAGCAUCACAUGAUGAGAGGAAGAAUUUUUGUCUACCUGCUGCAGAGCAUAGAAGGAAGUUGUGAAGC